rnacentral:lncRNA from 1 species
AAAAAAACUCUUACUAUUCUAACAGAUCAAAUACACUACAUCGAAAAUGAUGGGAAGAAAUCGAUGACGCAGAAGCAAAUAAUAACCAUAAUAGCUAAAAGCUUGAUCCAAACAUUUAGGAUAAUCAAUCCCCUUCUCUACAACACUUUAGAAGCAAGAGCAGGUUUCAUGGUCAUCUUGUAGAUUAUGAUAGACGCAAUGCCUUGGUAAUAUUCCUUUCCUCUACCUAACAACCAUUAUUCAUCUCGCCAAAUAUUUUUUUUUAGUAACAGUAUGCAACAUAACUUUAUUCGAAUGAUGUUUAUUUAUUAAGCUCUGUAUUUCACUUUAAAAACAAACACUCACCGUAAAACAUACUUUUUUACACCAUAAUAUUGUUACCGCUCCUGUUGUGUUUACUGUUAUUUUUUUAUAAAAACAAUUGUUUAUUUUGGCUUUAUUUGAGCAAAACAAUAUGCCAUUUUUUGCAAUUAUGAAUAGAUCCAGAUGCCCUGGGUCCCAGUUAUCCAUACUUUUGAGGGCGCGCUUACACUGUAUGGUCCCUCGCAUACCCUAAAUUCAGAUGUUUUCCUAACAAAAUAGAAAGUGCACAUAAAAUCACUAUGCAAUCCAUAACCAAAGUUACCAAUAAAUUAAAGUUCUUAUUAGAGCUCAAGAGCUCAGGAGUACUCACAGAUAUGGAGCUCAAAAAAAAAUGUAACAAACACGCUACUACAUACUAUGGAGCUUCACAGAUCCCACCAAAUCUCUCACUAUACCUUUUCUCUCCCAACCCUUUUCAAUAAUUGGAAAGACUACAAAAAAAAAACCGAAAUCAAUGGUUCGCAGUUACCUUCUCUAGUGUAUCCAACGGUGAAGACUGCGAGAACGAACUGACGCUGCCUGACAGACGAAGAAGAUUGGUAAAGGUUUUAGGGCCGAGGAUUGGUCGAUUGAUCGAAGUAAGGACCAGAUCUCGCUGAGAAAAGCUCAGGUCCGACUGUAGAUGAGAAGAAAGAAGACGAGACGAGAAAGGAGAGGAGAAGCUUUUUUGGUAGAGUUAUGACCGGGUAAUAAACGAAACAACCACCUCAUUAAAGUCAUUGUAGCUCCGAUAUAGUGACAAAAUAAGCCAAAAAGCUUUUUUUUUUUGCUUUUUUGAAGCCCUAAUUUUGAACUAAAAUAAGCUAAAAGCAAAAAGCUAAAAAAAAGCAAGCAAAACAAACAGGAAAUGAGCUUUUCUGCCUUUUUUAAGCAAAAAGUCAAAAAAAAUCCCAUUCCAAACGGAGCCUGAGUAUGGUCAGGAUACCCUAUUCAAUGAAGAGGAACAGAGGAAGUAGAUGGGUACAAUGGAUAGUGAUGAGUCACGAGCCCAAUCUUAGAGGAAAGUAGGAAAAGGUAUCAAGGUUGAGGUCAAGAAAUAACUCAUCAAAGGGGUAUCGAUAAAGGACGACCGAAGUCACAAUCAAGAUAUCACACUUUUAAUGUGCUUUUUUUUUGGAAUUAGGAUGGGCAUAUCAAGAGGAAUUGUCCAAGGUAUAAAGCAUAGAAUCAGUCUUUAAAGACAGCAUCAGCAUCAGUAAUGAUAGAUUCAGACAAUGAUGCUUUUCUAGUAGUAUCGACAGUGCUUACUACUUUUGUAGAGACAAAGAGAUGUUCUCCACAUAUUCAGCAUGCGAGGGAUUUGUAUGAACGACGAACAACAUGACGAACAAAGUUAUUGGCAAAGGAAUAGUCUGGUUCCGCAUUGCAGACGGGAGGUCUUUGACAUUGACCAAGGUAAGUCAUGUUCUUAAUUUACAAAAAAAAAUAAUUUUCAUUGGGAUGCUAGAUUUGAAGGGUUGCAAUUUUACAGCUAAUGAAUGAACUUUGAGAGUGUCCACGAGAAAUAAGGAGAUGCUUAUGGGGAAGGAAGACUAUAGGGUUGUACCGACUAAAGGGUAGUGUUCAGAUAGGGAGAGCUACUAUCAGACAUGAGUCUAAUGGUACUAGUGAGAAGAAUGGACAAGAAAAACAAUAGUUCCAUAAAGACACGUAAAGCAAGCACAAGAUUACCUAGAGGAUCAGGAGUGGUACAAGAGUAUAGAGAGAUGCUUUGAGAUAUGUGCAAAAGUCUGGCCAUACACAAGUAGUGCAACUAGUGCAGGAUGUCCAGAGAGAAAUUUAGAGAAAGGAGACAAAGUCGAUUUUAAAGAAUUGUACAACGACAAGUGCUACGACCUAAAAUGAGGUCUCAUUCGCUCGCGUCGAUUUGAUAGUGGCAGUGAUCCUCCAAUUUGCCACAUGGAGGAGAAUGGAGUCAAAGACAACUCACGAAAGGGAGUAGGCCUUGAUGAGGGUAGGUAUCUCGGAGUGAUGUCCUUGGCAGAUGCUUAUGGGAAAGCUGGAUCAAAAGUAAUCAGGAUUGAUUAUAACUUGAAGACAUCGAAUUACCCUCUAGUGGGAUAGAGGGGGAGAUUUUAGAGUCAGCCCACUUGGAUAUUCAAACCCACAUUUUAGGCCCAAGUCCUGUUGGCCUCUC